GUUAUUAGUCACUCAACGGGGACUUACUGGGCAGCUACCAUGAAACAGACCCUGGGCUAAGGACCGGAGAUGAAAGAAACAAAACAAAACAAAACAAAAAACAUUUCUUUCCUUGUGUGAUUCCACACAGUGUACACUAAGCUCCUACUGUGUUGUGUUUUUUUAAUAUUUUGCAUGUCUGACUCACCAUGUUGUAAGCCACUUGAAAGUCCGGACAUAUUUUAGCAUUCGCCAUUCCCAAUGAACUGCCCCAUCUACAAAGAAUUUGGAGUCUGGAAGAGAAAGGACUGAUUGGAGAGCAAUUAAAAUAUCAGUUUCCUAAAUCAAAAUUCAAAGCACCUGGUGCGGUUCUGUAUGGCAUACCAAAGGGAGACUGGGUUGACAGGUUUAAAGCACUCUUCCAGAGAGAACCAACCCAAGUGCACUGUGAUUAGCCCAAGGCAAGGAUUUGCUCCUCCCCUUGGAACAGUUGAAAGGAUCAGGCUGAAGGAAAAUACAUUAGUAUAUUUGGAAAACCUCAGGUCAACUUAGGGGGCUUCUUCAGGAACAGAUGGACAGCGCAAAAAACUCAUGGAGACCACGUGGGCUCUACUUCCAAGGGUAAGAAGUUCAGUCUCAUUCUGUGGGUGUUGAGCAGCUGCUGGAGUUUCUGAACAGGGAAAUGACAACAUGAGAAUAGAAAUUUAAGGUGAAUCACUGAUUAAAGAUGGGUAAGAAACACUGAUUAGAAAGCCAUUGCAAAGACUGAGAAUACCCAAAUGUCCUUCAGAAGGAGACUAAAUAACUAAAUCGAGGUAAGUCCAUCCAGCAGGUAAGUGUAAUAGAAUGAAGCAGCCCUCUAUGUAUAGCUAUGUAAUUAUUUCUAACAUAUAUAGUUAAGUGAAAAACGCAACUGCAGAAUAAUAUAUACGGUAUUCCACCAUUUAUGUAAAAACAGAAUGCAUGUAUUUAUAUAUGCUUAUACAUACACAUAAUUUAUUUCUAAUAUAAUAACCAAGAAACUACAAAAAUAAAUAGACAAGAAACUGAAGCCAGGAGUGGGGGAAGCAGGCAGCUUAGAAGGCAGAGAUGGGAGAGAGAUGUAUUUUGAUUAUGUAUGCUUCUUAAACUUGAAUGGUUGUAUUGUGGACACAUAUUACUAUUCAAAAAAUAAAUAAAAUAAUUUAAGAGGGUAAACUUACUAAAACCAACUUAAGAAUCAGAAAAUCUAAUCUUAAAGCCAGUCAAGAUGUUCAAUCAACACUUGAAAAAUGCCCCCCUUCCCAAUGCACACCUAGCUAACACCAGGCCCAGAAGUUUUUCAGGUAAGUACUUCUAAAAAAGAAAAAAGAGAUGACCCAGAGGGUGUGUGUAAGUGACAGAGGGAGAUUUUUAGCUAAGGUGGUCAGAGACAGUCUCAUAAUAAGGCAACAUUUGAAUAGAGACUUGGGACAUGAGGGAAUCAGUAAUGUAGUAAUCUGGAAAUAUCAGAACAGCAGGUCAAGUGCCCUAAAAAAUGGAGAGUGUUCAAGGAAGAGCAAGGUGUCCAGUAUUCCCUGGACAAGGUAUAGGAGAUGAGGCAGAGAUGUUUCAGAGAGCCAGGUUACACAGGGCCUUUUGGCUACUUUAAGAAUUUUGACUUAACUAGAGAAAGAUGGGAAGAUGUAGAAAUUUUUGAGCAAAGGAGAAGCGAGAUUUCCUUUUAAUUUAAGGAGGAAACAAAAAAGAUCCCUACCUCACAGCAUACACAAAAAAUCAAUAUCAGAUAAGUCAAAGAACUAAAGGAGAAAAAACCCCACAAAAUUAUCAGAAGAAAAUGGGAGAAGUUCAGUAUGAUCUCAAGUUAUAAAAGGCAAGUCAUAGAAAGCAUAACCCAUAAAGGGUUGACAACACUAAAAAUUUUAAAACUUCUGUACAUGAAAAGAAGAAAUAAAGUAAAAAGAUAAGCCACAGGCUGAACUCCAGCUGAAAAAUCAAUAUGGUGAAUUUCACAAACAGUACUUAGAAACCAAAAAAGCAAGCCACAGAAAAUUGCAUACAGUAAAUUUUUUUUCAUGUAAAAUUUAGAAAAAUAAAUAAAUAAAUAUAAGCAAUUUGUUUAGGAAAAGAAAGACAGUAAAACUACUAAGAAAAGCAAGAAUAUGCUAAACACAAGUUUAAGGACAGUAUUUAUCUCUGGUGGAGACAUCAAGAAGGAUUCCAUAGGAGAAAGGUACAAGAUUAUAAAUAAUACUCUAAUAAAUUAUUGUUGGUACAUGGGGUACAGAUUCAUCCAUACACACACAAAUAUACAUACAAUCUUUGAGAAUAAUUAAAAAAUUUAAAGGCAACAAGUGUGAUGGAAUCCUUAAUCCUGGAAUUCAGAUCACUAAAAAACAUACUAGCACUUUUAUAAUUAUAAAACUUGCUAUAAAUGCGAGAUAGUCUAUUACUGUUAACUAAGUCAUUAUGUCAAAUUGAUCUUUCUUUUUUUAAAAAAAUAUUUUUUCAUUGUAGUUGGACACAAUACCUUCAUUUUAUUUAUUUAUUUUUUAUGUGGUGCUGAGGAUCAAACCCAGGGUCUCGCACAUGCUAGGCGAGCACUCUACUGCUGAGCCACAACUCUAGCCCCUCAAAUUGAUCUUUCAAAGAUCCAGUCUUGAAAAUCUGUGAGAAUCCAUUUCUGAAUUUCCCUCUCAUUUUCCUGAUACUCUAGUUUUCUUUUCCCCUCAGCUACAUGAAGUAUAUUACAUAGGGAUAUGUGUGUGUGUGUGUGUGUGUGUGUGACUGUGUGUGUGAAUAAAUUUAGAAGGGCCAGACCUAAGUGAGGUCUCCUACCACUGUUGGGUUUUCAGUUGACGCAAACAGGCAUCUACUUUCCCUUUCUAUUACUAUCUGGGUUCCUUGGGAGAACUCCAUCCCCCAAUCUUGGAAUGCUGACCCUCAAUGAGAAGGAUUAAUUAAAACAUUAUCAGGCUCACUUAAAUUGCAAUUAACAGAAGAUGUUCUUUUUUAGAUCAUUUAGAUUUAUUUCAUAAGCUGGUUGCCCAAAAGCUGCUCUGCUGGCACUCUUACAGAAUAAUUUAAAAAAAAAUACACAAAUUAGGCUGGAGAUGUGGCUCAAGCAGUAGCGCACUCGCCUGGUAUGCGAGCGGCCCCAGUUUGAUCCUCAGCACCACAUACAAACAAAAAUGUUGUGUCCGCUGAAAACUAAAAAAUAAAUAUUAAAAAAACUCUCUCUCUCUUUAAAAAAAAAAUACACAAAUUAAAUAGCGCAAGAGCAAACUCCCUAGAAAAGAAAGAAAACAAGCAGUGCUCAUCACCAUCUGGCUCUUUUUUGGGGGGAUGUAGGACCCAAGGGGAAAAUAGACCUCCUUUUGUAUGGAGGUAAUGCCAAUGUCUAGGUUUUGAAAAUCCAGAGGUUGGGGGAGGGGGAUGAACAGAAAGACUGUCUAACAAUUCUCUGUCUCUAAUGAUACUUUCAGAAGCCUCUCUCUGUAGAAAGUAGUGAAAAAUAUUACACUGUUAAAGUAACAAAUACAGUUGGAACAAUAAGGAAUAUAAAGGUUCACACCUAGGGCAUGAAAUAAGAAUUUUCCCCCCAAGUGUAAGGAGCACGAGGCAACAUCUGCUAAGCCCCAAAGAACUGGAGCAGGCCUAAAGUUUGGAAUAUUGGGAUAAGGCUUCAUAAAGUGGUGGAGUACACAUGACUUUUGUGGUUUUGUCUACCCGGCAUCCAGCCCCUUAUUCUGGAAACAGCACCUAGAUUUUCUUUGAGGUCCUGUAGCUCUACUCUUGUUAACCCAAGUUGUUUAGGUGAGGCAGACCACUCCCUAUCUCAGGCUCCAAGGAGAGGGCAAGAUCUAGCUUUGGCUGAUCAGUUAUUGUGAUGUGUGCAGGGAGGAGCAUACAACCUAGUCAGAGCCAAUCAGAGUCACCCGAGUUUUGGUGGAGGUGCUGGCAAAGAGCUAUACCCUUGAGUGGGCAUUGCUAAGCUGGGACAAUGUAAGCCUGCUGUCAUGUUUGACAUCCUUGCUACCAUACAGAUAGCCUCCCUGUGAAAACACAGUCAUGAAAUGAAGCAAGAUUCCUUAAUGAAUUGUUAGAGCACCAGAGCCAGACUUUUCCGUUACUUAUUGCUACACAACAAACAACCCUAUAAGGCAUUAGCAUACAACAAUAACUAGCAUUCAUUUGCUCAGGAUUCUGCAGUUGGCAGCCCUCCAAAGGAGAUGGCUUUUCUCCGCGCCAUGUGGUACUGCUGGGGUUGGAGUGUGCAAGCUGGCUUCAUUCACAUGUCAGUUCCUAUACGAAUGGAGUAGUUGUAAUGCCUGGACUAGCCAGGCCUCUAUCCCUAUUUUUAUAUGUUUAAAAAUUAAAUGUUUUUAUAUUAUAUAGUCUCUUAGAUUCCAGGGGUCCCCUCUCUCCAUCAGGGUAGUUGGACUCCUUUACACGGAGGCUGGCUUCCAAGAAAGCAAAACCCAAAGCUGUCAGAUCUCUCUCAGCCUAGCCCAUAACUGGCAGGCAGUAUCACUUUCAUCACAUUCUAUUGGUCCAGAGGAGACAAAAACUGCUUGCAUAUAGGGAUGAGAGAAACUGCUGGCUAUCAUCUUGAUAGUGGAUCCAUCAUGCCAGCCCUGCCUAGACCCUCCUUUCAGUGAUACGAAACAGUAUAUUUCUUUUUCUUUUUUUUUGUUUAGGCUCGUUUAGAGAUGGAGUUUUGUCUCCAGUAACCUGAAGCAUCCUGACCAAUACAACAUCUCGUGCUAGGUAUGGGCAAAGACAGGACAAAGGGCAGCAUUUCAAGAGAAGGCAAGAACUCUGGACAGCAUGAAUAGAGGGACAGAGAAUUCCAGCGGGGGUCUGGAGUUUCCUCAGCCACUAACUACAACCUUCACUGGUCUCCAUGCCAGAUGACCUCCUGUGAGCUGUUAAACUAAUUGUAGUAUGUACUACUCACUUUAAUACAAAAGCUAUGUUAUUUAAAUAUUUCAGGUGAUAAUUUCUAUGUGCUCCCUCCCACAAAAUGCAGGUUACCUGAAGGAAAGGACUAUGCCUUCCAGGUUAGUGUGUAUAUUCCUGACAGUCCUCAACACAGUAUUCAAGACUUACUUGAUGAAUGAACGAAUGGAUGAAUAAGUUUGAAUUAAACAUUUAUUAAAUAUCUCCUUAUUUUCUAGAUAUUGAAGUUUUAUAAAGUGACUAAGAUGUAAGCAAAAGAUAGCUUUUGCCCUGACACGGAUGGAAUGAAUAAUAUAUAAUGAUAAAAACUUGCUGAAUGAUGAGUGUUGUCAAUUUUCAGAUAUUGAGUAGUUAUUGAAGUUUCUGAAGUCGGUUAUUUAUUAAGCUCCUUUAAUGUGACAGGCUCUGUUCCUGAUUCUGG
rnacentral:lncRNA from 1 species